CCAAGAAAGAACGCAAGGAGAGCACGUCAUAUGAGCCAAGAAGAAAUUGAAAGUCCCCAACCUCCCGCAUGAGAAACCAAACCAGGACCUGUGUCGAAGCUUCAGGUUUCUUUAUUGUCCCAAGAAUAUCAAUAAGAAUAGUUCUCUAGGCAGCACACUACACAACAUUCUACAACAUGUAAUCGAAACACAUAGAACACAACAAACAUAUCACAUCACACAACAGCAGCUGUGGCAGGCAGCAUCGCCUCUAAGGUGGUGACUGCUGUUCAUGGGACAUGCUUCAUGCAUGUUACAAGCUACAGUUGGAUUAGGCAAGAAGCAGCAGAAUGGGCAGACAUUUCCCUAGGACCUUCAUGUGGAGUGUUCACGUUCAAAUGCCUUUACUACGGGCUUUGACCAUCCAACUAGAAAGACAAUAGAUGCUAUGAAGAAGGCAAUAGAAUGGCAUAUUAUAUCCUCCGUGGAACAGAACAACACGCUUCAUGCGUGUUAGAAGCUUCACGCUUCUUGAUUCUCCCUCCCAACAGCUCUUUGUUAGGCUACAUACACUCUAGGAUGGUGGCAGCCUUUAAUGGAAUACGCUUCAUGCAUGUUCCAUUCUGUCCUCUCGACAACGCUUCGUGGCAAAUCUGGCAAGAAGAAACAGAGUCGGCCCAAGUGUCCCAAUGACCUCCGUGCCCGAGUGGUGCUUUCGGACCAUUUUCUCCUCUCACAAGGCCAGCGUGGCAGCUUCCAAGAAAGAACGCAAGGAGAGCACGUCAUACGAGCCAAGAAGAAAUUGAAAGUCCCCAACCUCCCGCAUGAGAAACCAAACCAGGACCUGUGUCGAAGCUUCAGGCUUCUUUCUUGUCCCAAGAAUAUCAAUGAGAAUAGUUCUCUAGGCAGCACACAACACAACAUUACACAACAUGUAAUCGAAACACAUAGAACACAACAAACAUAUCACAUCACACAACAGCAGCUGUGGCAGGCAGCAUCGCCUCUAAGGUGGUGACUGCUGUUCAUGGGACAUGCUUCAUGCAUGUUACAAGCUACAGUUGGAUUAGGCAAGAAGCAGCAGAAUGGGCAGACAUUUCCCUAGGACCUUCAUGUGGAGUGUUCACGUUCAAAUGCCUUUACUACGGGCUUUGACCAUCCAACUAGAAAGACAAUAGACGCUAUGAAGCAGGCAAUAGAAUGGCAUAUUAUAUCCUCCGUGGAACAGAACAACACGCUUCAUGCGUGUUAGAAGCUUCAGGCUUCUUGAUUCUCCCUCCCAACAGCUCUUUGUUAGGCUACAUACACUCUAGGAUGGUGGCAGCCUUUAAUGGAAUACGCUUCAUGCAUGUUCCAUUCUGUCCUCUCGACAACGCUUCGUGGCAAAUCUGGCAAGAAGAAACAGAGUCGGCCCAUGUGUCUCAAUGACCUCCGUGCCCGAGUGGUGUUUUUGGACCAUUUUCUCCUCCCACAAGGCCAGCGUGGCAGGUAAGGCUCAGACUGCACCAAGAAAAAGAACUCUCCAGGUAUAGGAGAUAACCUGUCUUCCUUGGAGGCCUGUCAGCAGAGCCUUAAAGGCCCUAGUUCUUAGCCUAGCUUUGAAAGAUAUUUUGUUCUGAUGUUCUCUACUUUUUAAUUGUAAUUUUUAUCUACUAUUGAUUAGUUUUUGAGUUCAACAUUUUUAAUUUUUUUUAAAAAAAUGUAAACCGCCCUGAGCCACCUUUGGAAGGGCGGCAUAUAAAUCCAAUGAAUAUAUUAAUCACCUGUCGGGGUCAGGGGGGAUCCCUAGCUGAACAAUGCAAUAGAAUGGCAUAUUAUACCAUUGAGGGAACAGAACAACAUGCUUCAUGCGUGUUAGAAGCUUCAGGCUUCUUGAUUCUCCCAACAACUCUACAUACACUCUCAGAUGGUAGCAGCCUUUAAUGGAACACGCUACAUGCAUGUUCCAUUCUGUCCUCUCGACAACGCUUCGUGGCAAAUUUGGCAAGAAGAAACAGAGUCGGCCCAUGUGUCUCAAUGACCUCCGUUCCUGAGUGGUGCUUUCAGACCAUUUUCUCCUCCCAGAAGGCAAGCGUGGCAGGUAAGGCUCAGAGUGGACCAAGAAAAAGAACUCUCCAGGUAUAUGAGAUAACCUUUCUUCCCAGGAGGCCUGUUUGCAGAGUCUGAAAGACCCUAGUUCUUAGCCUAGCUUUUAUAGAUAUUCAGUUCUCAUGUGCUCUAGUUUUUCAUUGUAAUUUUAUUCUGCUUUUCAUUGAGUUUUGACUUAAACUGUUUUGCUUUUUCAGCCCCCCGACUCCGUUCUGGCCAGAGUUCUACGCAGGAUACGCCUACUGUGGGCUGAUGUCUUGCUCAUUAUUCCGUUUUUGCCCAGGAGGCCGUGGUUUCCUGAACUGCUUCAUCUGUCACCAUAACCUCCUUGGGAGUCACCCACAGAUUACGAUCUUCUCUCCCAAGGCCCAGUGCACCAUCCAAACCCUCCUUGGUUACUUCUAACCAUCUGGAGACUGAGCGGCAUCUGGUAGGCCAGCACGGGUACUCUAGGAGCGUACUUAAAAACCAUGCUAGCAUCCUGCAGAGUGUCUACAGAGAGAAUCUACCAGUAUUCUUUGAGGACCUUUUUAUGUUUGAUGGCCCGUCACUCCAUUCCCCGGGGCACUGCGACCUUGCGACAUCCCCUACAAUUCCUACAGGAGGGCCUAGAGAAGGGUCUAUGACCAAAUACCCUUAAGAGGCAAGCGGCUUCUUUGUUUACCCUGGUAUCCCGUGGGUCUGCUCAGAUCACCCUGUCCCAACCCCAGGUGCCUCUCUGCUGUCUCCACCAACAGCUCAUCGGUUCCCCACGUGGGAUUUGCAUACCGUCCUCCGUGCCCUUCGGUCUCCCCCGUUUGAAAAAGUUAAAAGCGUUCCUAUUAGAGUUUUAUCGUUCAAGUUGGCUUUCCUUGUGGCGGUGACAUCCGCCAGGCACGUUUCUGAGUUAAGGGCUUUGUUGGUCAACAAGGCAUUCGGCAUCUUCCUGAAAGACUCUGUGAGACCGAUCCCUGAUCCAUUCAUACGCCCUAAGUGCCGUCGACUUCUCACCUCUCACAGGACGUUUUCCUUCCUUCGUUUUGUCCCAAACCGUCUCACCCUAGAGAAAGACAGUGGCACAAACUAGAUGUCCGGUGCUGCCUUAAGGCUUAUAUUAAGAGGUCAGCUUCCUGUAGGGUGUUGGGCACCACGUUCGUUUCCUUUCACCCACGAGCUAGGGGGAUGGCUGUUUCGUCUGCAACAAUCGCUAGAUGGUUAAAGGCCUGUAUUGUUAUGGCUUAUGAGGCGCAACAUCUUAGGUCACCCGCUCGCAUCCUCGCACAUUCAACAAGAGCAGCAGCAACUUCGGCGGCCUUCUCAACGAAUGCAACUGUGGAAGAGAGAUGCAGAGCUGCUCCCUGAGCCUCUCUGUCUACUUUUACGAGGCACUAGAAGAUAGAUGGUGAUGCUUCUGCCCGUUCCUCCUUUGGUAGGCGGGUCUUGCAGCAGGUACUUCCUCGACAAUAGGCCAGAGCGCUCCCGGCCGAGUUGGGCAGCUGUGGUAUGUCCCAUGGAGAAGUCCCUGGCAGCUCAGCAACUGAGAAUGGAGCAUUGGUUCACUUACCAUGAAGGCUGCUUCUGGCUGCUGAGAUGCCAGGGAGGACAUCUCGGCCCACCCUGCUAAUUCCGGCGCGCUGGCCUGAUACCGACGAGAUCUCCGCAGCACUAAUCCAGCACCAGUUCGGGGUCCAUCCUGUUCUGGGUGCCUUUUUUUCUCUCUGCACUGACCCUGUCUUGUGUUUCUGAUGUCUGUGUUCUUCUGCUGUCUCAGCCUGAAAGAACUGGGGCGGGGUUAUCCCCAUCAGGCUCGGGUAGGCGUGUCUUCUUUUCUUAACCAUUUAGUUUCUGUCCUGCCUUGGAGCUCCUGAGAUGGAGAACCCAUAGAGAUGUCCCAGGCCUCAGCAACCAGAAGAAGCCUUCACGGUAAGUGAACCAAUGCUCCGUUUUUCUUUUUUGAUUUUAAUGUAAACCGAGUCUGAGCCACCUUUGGAAGGGCGGUAUAUAAAUCAAAUAAAUAAAUAAGCGACCAGUGGCGGAAUCCCUAGCUGAAUCACUGCAUUUAGUGAUGAGGUUUUUCAUAAGAUGACUGAAGGAUAUAUUCCCAAAAUGUUUCUUCAAUAUAUAUUAUACAUUAAUAGUCACAAGGUCAUAAACGCAUGAAACAACCAUGAAGAAUAUUCUCAGCUGCUGUGGGAAGACAUCUCCUGUGGGUUAUCAUCUCGAGCUCGCUCCAGAGAGGCAGGACUAUGUAAAUAAGCUACCAAGCCUAUAAAAGACAUCUCGACCCACCUGGGACAUCCAGGCUUCUGGGACUUGUUUUUUUCCUAUUCUGAUAACUGUAUUAAUUACAGCUUGUACUUCUUCCUUUCUAGAAGCUUAGCUUGCCUACUUAAACCAGGAGGGAUUAGGGGUUAGCCUCUCCUCCUGAGGCUUUUAUAGGCUUGGUAGCUUAUUUACAUACAUAGUCCUGCCUCUCUGGAGCGAGCUUGGGAUGAUAACCCACACGAGAUGUCUUCCACAACAGCAGCUAGAAGAAGUCUUCAUGGUGAGUGACCAAUGCUCCUCUUCCCCUCCCCCCCCCCAGGAAUCUAUAAUGCACUCCCUGGGCAAAAUGUGAUAUUGCUCUCAUUUCAGAAUGAAUGGCAUGACCUGUUCUCUUCCAACAGCUUUCAAGAAACAACGAAAGGAGACGGUGUCAUACAAGCCAAGACUAUCCAAUUAGAAAUUAAGGCUCAGAGACAGAGUCUGGACCAAAUAAAGAGAAAACAAAGCAAGAUUUUAAAAAAACAAACUCUUGGAGUUUAGGAGGUAAUUUAACAGACACCAUGCCUUGUUGUAGCAAUGCUUGUUUUCUUUCAUGAGGCUCUUCAGCAGAGGACUGAAGAAUACAUGCAAAAUAUGUAUAGUUAUGGCUGACAACCAGACUAAGUUCCUCAAUAGUAUGGCGUUCCCCUCAGGAGUUACUUUAAAGAGCUACUCCAUUUCAAUAGGGCUUCCAUUGUGUAACUCUGUGUGGAUGUCUGUCAGUAUUCAUUGUGCUUUGAUUUUUGCCAUUUAAUCAACGUGAAACAGCUUUGAAGAGUGUUUUGAUACCACAUGAGAUGUGGUAUUGUGCACACUUAAAAAAAAGACUUCUUCUCUUCCAACAGUUUUCAAGAAAGAGCAGAAGAAGCAAGAACACAGAAGACAAGCCAAUCUGUUCCCAUCUCUUUUGUGAAGUCGCACUCACCAGAGAACUUUAAAAAAUUUGUUUCCUCUAGUUGGGACACAAUUGUGAAAAGUGUAUUGCCCAGGAAAUCUCAGAUGUAAUCUAGCCCACCUCUCAUCUUGUUACAGAAAAAUGCAAUAUUGUUCAAACUUCAGAAUAAAUUACUUAUUCUUUCUCAACAGAUUUCAAGAAAGAGCAAAAGAAGCAGUGACGCAGAAGACAAACGCUAUCUUGAUCCCUUUUCUGAGGAGGCACUUCAUCAGGGAACUAGAGGAUAUAUAGAAAACUGAAAUAUUGAAUAUAAUAAUUUAUUACAUACUGUUUGUCACAAGAGAAUAUAAAAAUGAAACAACUGUGAAGAGUGUAUUACCCAGGAAAUCUUUGGUGGAAUCCUUAGCAAACUGCUCCUGUCUUAACAUAAAAAUGCAAUGUUGCCCAAAGUAAAUGAUGUAACUUGUUCGUUCUUUCCCAACAGAUUUCAAGAAAGAACAAAAAGAGGCAACUAACUGUACACAAGCACUGGAAGCAAAACUGCGCUACUAGUUUCGGUGGUGUUUUCAGAUAAGUCUCGAGAGGCUUCAAGUGUGAGUUUCUUUUGCUUUUGGCCCUGCCAGGUAGGUUAGAUGGGAUUGUUCUGGACUGUCUUGAAGGGUUUAUGCCUUAGAGACAGAGAACUUAAGUGAAUGUUCUUUCUUUCUUUCUUUCUUUCCUUCCCAUCCAACAUAGAGCUGCUCGGGGCGAUUUGCAAACACCUCCUCUAUUAAAUGAAAAACCAAAAACCAUCCACUACUAAAUUCCAAAACACACACACAAAAACCCCACUAUUAAAACAAACACCCUACUAAAUGCAACAAAACCCACUACUAAAUGAAAACCACAACUAAAUGCAACCCCCUCCCCCACUAAUAAAUGCAGAAAAAACCCACAACUCACUACUAAAUGCAAUAAAAUGAAAUAAAACAGCAGGUAAAAAACACCAAAAAAAUAGCUUUCAUAACUAAGCACUGAUUAAAAUGGGAAACCAAUUACAACCAGUGUUACAUGCUUCUUUAAAAAGGAGAGUUUUCAAAUUCUUUUUAAAAAUGUAUUAAAGCAGGGCGAUUGACUUGUAUGGAAAUCUAGACUGCAGCCUGUAUUUAACUGAGCUAUGCAUUUGUUGAUGUUGGUCCAGGCAAUGUUUGUUCUGUAUUUGACUAACAAUUGAUUACUCCAAGUCGUUCCUUUAAAAAAAAUAAAUUUAGAGUGUUCUAAACUUGGAUUGGAGAAAAAAAUGGGAUUUUUCUUUGUGGACAUUUCAUGACAUGGCUGCUUUGGGUGAGUAUUUGUUCAGUGAAAAAUCGGUGAUGUUUGAAACUAACACAAAUAUUUAACACUUAACACAUGUGCUAAGGAUAUUAAAAAAUGUUCUAUUUUUCAUUUUGAUACAUGAAUUAUUUCAAAAGAUGAAAGAGUUAAACAUUAGCAUGCCCUUAGAUUUUCUUUCCCCCCAGCAGGUUGAUCUAUAUUUACUGCUAUGUGGAUUGUGGGCAAACCUCUAGCUAGGAGGCUAUUGGAAGAAAUUCCGAGUUACACAACUGGCUAACGUCAAAGAGGUGGGUAUUAUGAUUAGUCCGUGUGUGCGCGUGUUCUUUCUUUCAGAUUUUCUUUUUCCCUAGCAGGUUGAUUUUUAAGCACUGCCGUAUAGAUUGUGGUGAAUCCCAACCAGGAGGAGAUCUCAUGAAAUCAGUAAUGUGUUAAACAAACAAAUGAAUAAGUAUAUACUGCAUUUCGACAAAAGUUCCCAAAGUGGUUUACAGAGAGAAAACAAUGGAAAACUAAUAAGAUGGAUCCCUGUCCCCAAAGGGCUCACAGUCAAAAUGGCUAAUGUCAAAGAGGUACGUAUAAACCCAUUUUUUGGUUUUAUUUUUGUACAGAUCUUUUUAUCCAGCAGGUUGAUUUGUCUGUACCGCUCAGUGUUCCGUCUAAGCUGUGUGUGUGUGUGUGCACGCACUCACACAUUUUUUUGAUGUCCGGUCAGUUAAUUUUAGAUCCCGCUCAGGUUGAAUCUGGCAGGCCGCAUUCUGAAUACACGUGUGCACACACUGCCUGGGUACUGCCACCCAGAACAAAACUCAUUCCACACAAAGAGGAAAAAGAUUAGAGAGAACUCUGGUACCGCUUUGUGGAGAAAUCUCUCUAUCAGUAUUCUAAGGAAUCAGACUUGUCUAAAAAUGGCUAACGUCAAAGAGGUAUGUAUUAAGUCUUUUUUAGACUGAGUUUAUUCCUGCAUAAGGAGGAUGACUCUGUUUAAAUGUGUCCCUUUUGCAGCUUUUCCACUCAAGAGACCUGAGCAGACCUGUUGGAUGCUGUCGCAACUUGGAUGUAGGGACACAGGAGCUGAAGUCCUACUACAGUCCGGGCGAAGUGCUGGUAAUCUCUCCCCUGCAGCCUCCAAAGAAAGGGGAGAGCUGGAAGAAAAGGAUUCCCUGCCAGGAAGGAGCGGCUGUGAUGCUGAUGCUCAGUUCCGUCCCUUGUUAUAGCCUCUGUAUGGUUGUUGGGGUGUGUGUGUGGGGGGGUGUUUUUUCUUUAUGUGAGCAAUCCUGUGCAUUCAAUACCUCUGUCAAACGUUUGUGUGGAACCCGGGUUCUUUUUGGUUUUGUAUUGUAUUUUAAAGGUCUGGGGAACGAGUGUCCCAGUAAAGAACUCCUCUCA